AUUGAACGCUAGCGGCAUGCUUAACACAUGCAAGUCGAACGGCAGCGCGGGUAGCUUGCUACCUGGCGGCGAGUGGCGGACGGGUGAGUAAUGCGUAGGAAUCUACCUUAUAGUGGGGGAUAACCCGGAGAAACUCGGGCUAAUACCGCAUAAUCUCUACGGAGCAAAGCGGGGGACCUUCGGGCCUCGUGCUAUAAGAUGAGCCUACGUCGGAUUAGCUAGUUGGUGGGGUAAAGGCCUACCAAGGCGACGAUCCGUAGCUGGUCUGAGAGGACGAUCAGCCACACUGGGACUGAGACACGGCCCAGACUCCUACGGGAGGCAGCAGUGGGGAAUAUUGGACAAUGGGGGAAACCCUGAUCCAGCAAUGCCGCGUGUGUGAAGAAGGCCUUCGGGUUGUAAAGCACUUUCAGUGGGGAAGAAAGAACCAAAAUUAAUACUUUUGGGUGUUGACGUUACCCACAGAAGAAGCACUGGCUAACUCUGUGCCAGCCGCCGCGGUAA
rnacentral:rRNA from 1 species